UGAGUAAUGAAUAAUGAGGGGGCCACGAUCAUGACGCGCCUAUCACACGCCUCGAAAUAUCUAUAAAAUGAUUGCUACUUUAUUGAGCAAUCCAUUUACUUGAUUCAGAUCUCCACUUCCAUUUAUCUAGGCCAGGUUGAUUUGAAGAAGAAAUGGGGCAUCAUCACCACCAUCACCACCACCACAGCGGCAGGCCUUACGAUGAUCCGUUGCUGGCUUGCUGUUGCUGCCCUUGCAUCCUUGUUUCUUCGGUGUUCAGAAUGAUCGGACAGUGCGUGUUUGUCGCAUGCUAUCCUUUGUUCCAGUGCUUCGGUUUCAAUGACCACAGACACCACCAUCACCACCAUCAUUGUUACUGAUAUUUUUCUCUGUAUUUGAUCAUGUUUUUUUCUACAGUGUUGCUUUAUUGUUUAGGUUAUUCAUUAUCUUUUUGAUGAAAUUCCACCAUAUUUCACAUGUAUCUUCUUUUCUACUCCCUCCGUUUUAGAGUAGUAGAGUCAUUUUUAGUAGUCAUUUUUCUAUUUUGAGCGUUUCAUAAUAGUAGAGUCAUUUCCCUUUUUAGCAGUAAAAAAUAACAAAUUUUCUCGA